rnacentral:rRNA from 1 species
CAGUCGUACCGACGAGAAAUCAACUUAUCGUGUGCGAACUUGUGGGCGUGCGUGAGUUUCGGCCUCGCUGUUUGCAUGUUUGUGCGCUUUGGGUGUACUUUUUCGUAUGGUAGGCCAACGUCAGUUUCGAUUAUCAUAAAAUGACCGGCGGAAUGUAGCUUCGAUUUCGGUUGAAGUGUUAUAGCCUCUGGUAGAUGUGGUAAUUGGGACUGAGGAUUGCAACGAAUAUCCUUUGGGCUAUCCGUCUGGCCUCUGAAAGUUGCUUGGGUGCUGAAAGCUUGCUUAUGGUUAUCUAAGUUAACGGUCAAUAGGUUAGAACGUGAUUACAUUCGUUAAGGAUGUUGGCGUAAUGGCUUUAAACGA